UACAGAGGUGGCAAGCGUUGUUCGGAAUUACUGGGCGUAAAGGGCGCGUAGGCGGCCUACUAAGUCAGACGUGAAAUCCCCCGGCUUAACCUGGGAACUGCGUCUGAUACUGGAAGGCUUGAGGAUGGGAGAGGGAUGUAGAAUUCCAGGUGUAGCGGUGAAAUGCGUAAAUAUCUGGAGGAAUACCGGUGGCGAAGGCGGCAUCCUGGACCAUUACUGACGCUGAGGCGCGAAAGCUAGGGGAGCAAACGGG
rnacentral:rRNA from 1 species